UAUAAAUCACAAUCAGAAAAAUGUUCAAAUCUCCGUCACUAUUUGUACUGCUCGUGGCUGGUUGCCUGAUACUGUUUGCCAGUAAUGCCGUUGAAGGACAGCAACGCCGGACCAAGGAUCUACCGUUCGAACCGUAGUUCUCGACGACUUUACGUUCUUCAAAUCCAAAGCACAAAUGAUAGUUAUUAAGCUCCGAUUUUUAUUUACGUUGUUACAUUUUAUGAAAGAUAACAUGUAUAAUCGAUGUUCAAAUUUUAUAUAAAGAGAUUAUAAAAACGAAUCGGCUUGGAA